rnacentral:rRNA from 1 species
UACGUAGGGGGCAAGCGUUGUCCGGAAUCAUUGGGCGUAAAGAGCGUGUAGGCGGCUUGGUAAGUCCGCUGUGAAAGUCCAGGGCUCAACCCUGGAAAGCCGGUGGAAACUGUCAAGCUUGAGUCCGGAAGAGGCGAGUGGAAUUUCCGGUGUAGCGGUGAAAUGCGUAGAUAUCGGGAAGAACACCCGUGGCGAAGGCGGCUCUCUGGGACGGUACUGACGCUGAGACGCGAAAGCGUGGGGAGCGAACAGG